GGGCUUGUGGUAGAAUGGCAAUACACGUCUUUCGGGUGGACGAGAUCCAGGUUCGAUUCCUGGCUGGCCUG